GGGCACCUGCGGGCUUCGCCGCCGCGCUCCCCUCCCUCGCCGGGACCGGCCGGCCCCGCCUUCUGCAGGGGCCGGGCGAUGGGCGGACGAGGGGACCGGCCGCUUAAAAGCGAGGCACGGCCGGGCGUGGGCUGCCUCUGCCCGCGUCACCGAGUCAGCUCGGUCCCGCCAGGCGGAGGACGCGCCUGGGAGCGAGGGCGCGCGGGGUGCCCGGACCCCAGAGUGCUCAUCGCGGACCUGGAUACCUGGGAGCAGGACCGGGGAGCUAAGAGACGCCCGCAGCGCCUUAGACACAUGGGGGAACCGAGGCUCCGGCGGAGAGAGGACUUGAUUAUCUUGGUUUUAAAAAGCGGCACUCCUGGCUAAGUGCAAAUCAGGACCUGCGCUUCUUUGAGACUCAUAGCCUAAGUUGAAAUUAUUUCGCUGGAUGGGUGGAGACCCCGAGAGGACACGGAGAGGACCAGAGCCUGGCCUGAAGUCAGAACCGGAGUCACUCGCAGGGCUAAGACUUGGACCCCCCUCUACCAAACUCAUAAAUUAUCAGGCGGGGCCCCUUCCUCGCAAAGACCAGGGACCGCAGUGUGUUGGAAACAUUAGGGAGGUAAACUCCUCCCGGACACCCCUUCUAGUGCCCUUUUGUCCUCCUUGUCGCUGGGGCUCUUGGUGUGAAAUCUGGAACUGAUGUGACAUCCAGCAUUGGAUUCAGCAGAAGUCUUGUCCUAAAAGGUGUGGAAUCUUUUGACCUAGAAAUCCCUAAGAGCUACUUUAAAAUAGAAGGACAUGAGGAAUGCACUCCACCUGGCUUGGCCUGGAAGCAGGACGUGAGAGGAGAAUCCUAGACCAGUUGCCUUGAGGAAUGAAGAGCCGCUGUGUGUGUCCUCCAGUCUGAUUGACCUGCUCAGGGAGGCGAAACCUCUCUCCAGAAAUGCCUUUGAAAAGCGAAGAGCAGGACGGCCUUUCCGCCAAGGACUCGGUCGAAGGCGGCGUCCAGUCUCGUCCGUCCAGCAUCCACCUGGAGCACGAAGAGGAGGCGGGCGCUGACCUCAAGCCGCUGGAGACGGACGAGCCGCGCAGCCCUCGUCCCAGGAUCUGCUUGGAGCCUCGGGAGAGACGCAGUGCCAGCCUCGGGCAGGCUGUCCUCAGGAGGCUGCGGAAGAGCUGCCAGUGCAGUCAGGCCAAAGCCAAAAACAAGAUCCUGGGUUUCUUUCCUGUGUUGCGAUGGCUCCCAAAGUACAACCUGAAGAAGAACCUCUUGGGAGACGCCAUGUCCGGCCUGAUCGUGGGCAUCUUGCUGGUGCCGCAGUCCAUCGCCUACUCCCUCCUGGCCGCCCAGGAGCCCGUCUACGGCCUGUACACCUCCUUCUUUGCCAGCAUCAUCUACUUUCUCCUGGGGACGUCCCGGCACAUCUCUGUGGGCAUCUUCGGAGUGCUGUGCCUCAUGAUCGGUGAAGUGGUCGACCGGGAACUAGCCAGAGCCGGCUAUGACGCGGCCCACGCCCCUGCCGCCCUAGGCGUGCUUUCCAACGGGAGCUCGGCGUUCAAUCAGACGGCAGACAAGACCUGCGACAAAAAUUGCUACGCCAUCGCCGUUGGCAGCACUGUGACCUUCAUGGCCGGAGUCUAUCAGGUGGCCAUGGGCUUCUUCCAGGUGGGCUUCGUGUCCGUCUACCUCUCGGACGCCUUGCUGAGCGGCUUUGUCACCGGCGCCUCGUUCACUAUCCUCACGUCGCAGGCCAAGUACCUCCUCGGCCUCCGGCUUCCUCGGAGUCACGGCCCCGGCUCCCUCGUCACCACCUGGAGCCACAUCUUCAGGAACAUCCAUCAGACCAACCUCUGUGACCUCCUCACCAGCCUCUUGUGCCUUUUGGUUCUUCUGCCCACCAAGGAGCUUAACGAGCGCUUCAAGUCCAAGCUUAAGGCACCCAUUCCCACGGAACUCUUCGUGGUCGUGGCGGCCACCUUGGCGUCGCAUUUCGGGAGGCUGCACGACAGGUACGGCACCAGCAUCGCCGGGCCCAUUCCCACCGGCUUCCUGCCGCCCCGCGCGCCGGACUGGAGCCUCGUCCCCAGGGUGGCGGCGGACGCCGUGGCCAUCUCCGUCAUCGGCUUCGCCAUCACCGUGUCCCUCUCCGAGAUGUUCGCCAAGAAGCACGGCUACGCGGUCCGCGCCAACCAGGAGAUGUACGCCAUCGGCUUCUGCAACAUCAUCCCCUCCUUCUUCCACUGCUUCACCACCAGCGCCGCGCUGGCGAAGACGCUGGUCAAGGAAUCCACGGGCUGCCAGACGCAGGUCUCGGGGGUGGUGACGGCGCUGGUCCUGUCGCUGGUCCUCUUGGUGGUGGCGCCCUUGUUCUACUCCCUGCAGAAGAGCGUGCUGGGGGUGAUCACGAUUGUGAACCUCCGAGGGGCCCUGCUCAAGUUCAAGGACCUGCCCGCCAUGUGGCGGGUCAGCCGGAUGGACACGGUGAUCUGGUGGGUCACCAUGCUGUCCUCGGCGCUCAUCAGCACCGAGCUGGGCCUGCUCAUCGGCGUGUGUUUCUCCAUGUUUUGUGUCAUCCUUCGCACUCAGAAGCCCCAGGCCUCGCUGCUCGGCUGGGUGGAGGGGUCCGAAACCUUCGAAUCCACGGCUGCCUACAGGGGCCUCCAGGCCAAGCCCGGCGUCAAGGUGUUCCGCUUCGCGGCCCCGCUCUACUACAUAAACAAAGAGUACUUCAAAUCCGCCUUGUACAAGUCCACCCUCAACCCGGUCUUCGCGAAGGCGGCUCAGAAGAAGGCCGCCAAGAGAAAGAGGAGAAAGGGGGCGGCAGCCCGGGGCGGGGCCCAGGACGACGUGGCCGUGCAGCUCUCCCCCGACCCCCCGGAGCUGCACACGCUGGUGGUUGACUGCAGCGCGGUGCAGUUUGUGGACACGGCGGGGAUCCAGACGCUGAGAGAGGUGCGCAGGGACUACGAAGCCGUCGGCGUCCGGGUGCUGCUGGCUCAGUGCAACCCGUCUGUGAGGGCGUCCCUGGCCCAGGGAGAGUACUGCCGGGAGGAAGAGGAAAACCUUCUUUUUCACAGUGUCUUUGAAGCCGUGAGUUUUGCAGAAGCCGUGGAAAAUCAGAAAGGAGUGAGUGUUCCCAAUGGGCUGAGUUUUUCCAGCGGCUGACUGAGCACGUCCGUCGCCCGAGGACGCCGCCCGGCCGUGGGGACAGGGGCAGGCGUGCCGCAUUGUCUGCCGUGCCACGGGGACGUGGUGAAGUGGCAGCCUCCGGGCUGGACGGUGUUCUCCCUUUGAGGCUGGUGGCCUUCUCGUCCCACACAGCAGCAGAGCUUUUAUUAGUCAGGCGGAAUCAGAAAGAGGAAAAGACUGGUUUCUAGCUUUCUUGUGCAUAUAAGGUAUCCUUGCAACUAAGCCCGUAACCAUUGACUUGAACUGCACAGCAGCCCCCAGACCUAACAACGCCCACCCCGUCUUGGGGGCUGUGUCUCUGGACGCUUCCUUCCUCAGGGGGUCAGGCGUCAAAGCUGGCGUUGAGGGGAGCGUGCUGGGGUCUCUUUCCCACGGCUCCUGGGGGCGGGGGUGGGGGGGGCAGAAGGGAAGUAGAAGAGCGUCCUGUCUGCUCUCGACACAGCAGGUCCACGGGCUUCUGCGGCGCAAAGAAGCGAUGAGCCGAGCCUGCUGUCCCCCUCCGUUGCCUGCCUUGGCCGCCCAGGUGGCUGCGGCAUCUCUGGCUUUUCACAGGGAAACACGGCUGCCGUCGGGCAGCCUUGGCAGGCGUCUGAGGGGCGAGCAGGCUGCGGGGUCCCGGCGGCCGGCCCCGCUCCGGACGGCACCUCUCAGCAGCGCGUUCCACGCUGUUGUCGUGCCUUUGUGCGUCAGGGACGCAGGGAGGAAGCGCUUCCUAAGCAGCCAGACCCUGAGAUCUCGCCUGUCCUCGCGCCAUCCGGCCCCGUCUGUCACUUGCUGCGCGUUUCUCUGCCGAGAAGCGGGGUUCGCUGGCGGUCGUUUGAGCGCGUGUCCCCUGCAGUCUGUGCUAACCUGCUGCGUCUGAUGGCCCGCGAGUGACAGGUUUGCCAGAGAAACGGCGCAGUGCUGACGCAGCCGUCUCAGGCAGCCUUUUCACCGAGCUUGAGGCGAAGCGUUCAGGCAGGUUGCGAAAAGCCGCGAUGGACGGCUUCCCCUAAGCGUUGGUUUGUUCAGCGGUAACGCGCGUGUCCUUCCCACGGCCCUGCUGCCAAGAGGGUCAGCUGGCCCUCGAGGGUCUCCCCACGUCUGCGACCCUGCCGCCCGUCCUUGCUCCGUAAGAAGGGCGGGUCCGUCCCGUCCAGUGGAGCAGCACGCGCCGGAGCCGGAGCGCCCUCCGGGUCACGGCAGCCCUGAGUUGGGGCCGUUUCGGUGGAGGCGAGGCUGGUGCUUCCUGCCACGAGCCCUUCUCACGUACAGUGAAUUCCGAUGACCGCGGUAGCUCUUCCUUCUCGGGCCUCCCAGCCAGCACGUGAGAGCAUUUAGAAACCUCCCUCCCUACAAGCCACGUUCCGAGGGCGUGUUAUUUACGAGAGCUGGUGCCGGGUUGUGGCCCAGGGACCGUUCCUUUUGAAGAGCAAGGAGGCCUGACUGCGAAAGCUUCCAGUUCUGUCUCUGGAGCUGGACGGGCGAGGGAUAAAGACGGGUUUUCCGGAGUUCAGCUUAAGUGAGGUUGAGGCAUUGAGCCCCUCCACCUUACCCAGGCAAAGUGAAAACUGUGACCGUGCAGAGUCAUUUUGAAUCCGCUCCGACAUCCUAAACAGGUUAAAUGUUCCUGAGAAACAAACCCUGGGCGUAAGGCGUCUGUCGGACGGACCGGGACCUUUCAGCAUCCCACCUGCCUUGUGGCUCCAUGCACUGCAGCGUCGCUUUUCUGCGGGUGGAGCUUGGCCCCCCGUUGACACGGGAAGGCCUUGCUGUUGGGAGGACGGCGGUUUCCCGGGUGCUAAAGGGCCGUCUUGGCGGUGAUGGAGCCCUUGGCUAGAUGUCAUGGUGCCCUUUUAGGACUUAAGGCGGGAUUUCAGAAAGGUUAGCUGCUCUCCGUGGGUUUGUGUUUUGCUUGUUGUUCGUGGUCAGCGUUUCCGCCUUCUCUGCAGUCCCGGGAGUGUCACAGUCACAUCAGAGCGUCCUGGUUGUCAUUCAUGUGCCAUCCCUCCUGUCCCGUCCCCCCCGCCCCCCCCCGAGCAGGCGGGUGCCCACAUCUGAGGCCGUCUGGCAGAGUGACGAGCAGGUGUUAGGAUGAUCCCAUGAUGUAGCAAAUACUGUCGCAGCCAAGACAGAAAGAAAAGGCCAAAGACUUUGGAAAGGCUCUUAGAAGGAGAGUGACUUGGUUUGACCUUUCCCUGACAUUUCUGUCCGUCCCUGGUGUAAACUGUUCUGGAGCCGUACGCAGUCGGCAGGUUCCUGGCUUGUUCUUCUACCCAGACAAGUGCAUACGGGAUUCUGCUUUGGAAAGCUGUUUGUAGGACUUUCGAAGAUUUCCCAAUUUAAACCUCACCUCUGCUUGGUUUGACGUCUGCCUGUACUUACCUGUUAAGAUGUUUUAACUGCUGGUGUUUAAAGGAAUCAAACAGGAGGCCAGAGCCUAAGGCACCCGCGACACCCAUGUCUCCGCCCGUUUUCUUGCUCAAGGAUGUAGACUGGGUUCAACACGGGAUGGUGUACACGCGUGAUGGGUACAGAGACCUCUUGCCCGCGCUGAACUGGCGUCUAAGUGCAGCACGUUCUCAGCACUUGCUGAUAAUGCACAAAACAGUGGCCACGCUGCUGGUGUGAUUGGAAUGGAAGUGCACUCGUGACGGGUAAAGCUCGGAGAAGCAGCGGCGCGGGAUGCGCCUGGGGCUGAGGCGGCGAAGGCUGAGGUUCCGAGGCCGUGCAAAGACCCUCUCCGAGCCACGGAGGGGGAGCAGAGAGGGACCCAGCUGAAUGGGGUCCAGCCGCUGGUCGGCCCCACACCUCAGUUUGAGAGCAAGGUCCCAACUGGAUUCUGAUUCUAGAAGAGGGGGUGCAGGUUGACCAGAGCUGGAAGAGGCGGGGCGCACUGGUACCCAAGGCUGGUGCCGAAGCCGAAGACCCCCCACCUUUUCCGGAGCCCUAGACAGUGACUCUAGCCCCUGACGGUGGUAGGGCUGGCAGGUGUCUAGCUGGCUUUUUUUUCUUUUCUUUUCUUCCCUAAGGAGUGAAGGAAAAGGAGAUUUGGCACCGUCUGUCUUGGCUCUUAAGCAUUAGGAGACACCGAAGCCAGGCUUUGUUGGCAGAUUUACAGCCUGAGCUUGAACCUGGCAGGGUCUGCGGUGAGGUCCUGGGGCUUUUCUCACGGGGUGGCCGCGUUUGAACAGGAAUGGUGAUGCUCUCAGCUGGCGUGGCUGUCCUGGCGCAGCAGAGGCGAGUCUGACUCGUAUCCAUGCGGGGUAUCAGCCGAGUAGCGUGUCUCAGAAGCACAGUGCCUGGGCGAGAGCCCCGGUCUGGGUAGGAAAGGGAGAGAAGGCCGUCGUGCGUCCCGGGGGCGUCACGGGAGCCUGGACGUCGGCAGGAUGAAUGCAGCGGGCUCCGUGGUCCUCGUCGGCGUCCUCCGUCACUUGCUUUCCUCUCCGUCUUGCUGUGCACGAGCCGUGCCUUCAAUGUGCCGACACCUGCUGGGGACCGGCGCGGCCGUCUAGGGCCUGGCCGGGUGCCGGGCCUGCAGCGCUAAAGCCAGCAGGUGGGCCGAGGGUCGCCCUGCUCGUAACGCCCGCGGGCACGUGGAGCUCCUUUCGGGAGGGGCUGAGCUGAGCCUGGGUGGAGGUCUGAGAGGGAGGCAGGCCGCUGAGGCCCAGCGGCAGGCACGGGUGCCCUGGUCCGGGUCUGCUCAGGGAGGGCUCGCAGGCGGCGGGAUGAGAGCCCGAGCCGUGGGACUCGGACUUGGCUUAAUUUUUCUGUUCUUUAGUGCUUCAUUUUUUUUUCUUCUCCUGUUUGAUCCGUUCUCAUGAUGCCUUAUUUGAAACUGGGCUUUAAGAACUGCAAAAAGGGAGCAAACUGGAUCUAGAAAGCUUUAAAGCUCUGAAUGCACUUGCCUUUUUUUUUUGUAUAAGAAUUUUAGAUAAUCAUGAAUCAUUCCUUUGAGUGCUAAGAACGAAAAGGAAAAUUAUAAUGCAGUAGGCCAAAAUAAUAGGCCAGCUGAUUUGGUUAGCAUCGCUAUUACUAAGGUAAAAGACGGAGUUCCCGUCGUGGCUCAGUGGUAACGAACCCGACUAGUAUCCAUGAGGACGUGGGUUCGAUCCCUGGGUUAAGGAUCCGGCGUUGCCGUGAGCCGUAGUGUAGGUCGGAGACCUGGCUCGGAUCUGGCGUUGUUGUGGUUGUAGGCCGGCAGCUGCAGCUCUGAUUCGAACGCUGGCCCGGGAACUUCCUGCAGCAAAAGUGAAAUAGUGCUGAAAUACUAUAAGUAUACAAUUUUAGUGUUUUUUUUUUUUUUUUUUAAUGUUAGUUACUUUAGAAAUGGAGAAUUUAGACAUAGGAGUAGGCAAAUUAUUUUUAUAAGAUCAUUUUUAUCCUGACAAGGACAAUUUUUUAAAGUGUUUGGCACCUGAAAAUAAAUCGUUAGGAGAAUUAGAGAAGCACAUAUCAAAUGGUGGUUUUUUUUCGGUGUGUGUUUUAGUCUUUUCUUGGCGUUGUGAGACAGGAGGGAGGCGUGUGGAUGGAGAGAGCUGGCCAAGGAAGGGCACUGAUGCCUUCCUGGAGAUGCCCUGCUGUACAUCUGCUCUGGAAUCUGUAUAACUUUCUUGGACUUGAAUUAUGGCUCUGAAAUUGGCUGAAGAAUUACGAUCGUAUUAAAAAUACCAAUAGGAGAAUUUCUAACGGAGGGCUUUUUACUUGGCAAACGAACAGCUGGCUUCAGCCAGAGAGGAUUUUUAGCAGCAAUUUUAAGAAGCUCCUUUUAGGGAGGUUCUCCGACGCCACCUCUCCGGUCCGUAAAGUAAUGAGUCGCUUGGAAUGAAACCCUCUUGCCUUGUCAGCUCACAUCCGUUGGAAGUUCCUGGUUGAGUUCUGACACUGCCAUGAUUUGUCAAAAAUUAGUGUGCACGAAUCAGUGUGUAUAAAACUUCCUUUUUGGGUCUCCUUUGCCGUUUCUCAUAUAAGCCCAGGCGAUACCAGCGUGACAGGUGAAGGAACCUAAAAUCCCAGCCUAAGGACACUGCCUUUCUUCGUAGUUAUUCAAGGCUGAUGACUUUGUGGAAUUUGUCUUAUACCACGUAUGUCUUUUUUAAUUAAAGAAAGUGCCUUGAUGCAAUUCCGCUGAAAUCGCGUCUGGCCCCCUGUGGAGUGAGGGUGGGUUCCGGACGGAUUUUGCAGCCUCCGUUGCAGGAGAGGGGAGUCAGUCAGAGGCAGGCCCUGUUCUUCUGAUCUCUGUUGGUGAUGUUUAUCUCAUAAGAUCCUGUAUGUAUUGAGAUUCAGAGAUGUCAUUUCAUUUGUCUGCUAAUAAAUUGUUGCGUUCGU
rnacentral:lncRNA from 1 species